GUGUGUGUGUGUGUGUGUCUGUGUGAGUCUGUGUCUGUGUGUGUCUGUGUGAGUCAGUAUCUGUGUAUGUGUGCAUACCUCCGUGUCUCAAAAUAAACAGACAGACAGACAGACAGACAAAAGCUAACCAGUGCAGUAAACUGAUGAAACAAUCUAUGAUAAGCGAAUCCAAUACUUGCCAGGGAAAUAUUGCCCUAUCACUGGGUAAUUGGUAGGCAACCAUCAGACCAAGACCGAUAAGAUCAACACAGAGUGUGAAUAAAUAGUUGCCGAUUGGAACGUAUUAAUCUCCAUAUGUAGUGGGAGGAAAAAUGAAAACUUCAUGAGAAAAUAAGGCUACCAUAACUGUGUGGUAUAUCCUUGUAAAUGGGUGUUAAUAGUGUUUGGGAGUCAGGUUCUAAAAUCUCGUAGCUAUGUGACACUUGAACCACCAAAAUGGUGGCAGGCUUGUUGGGACUGCAGAAUCUGCAGAGCCAGGCAUUAAGACUAAUAUGCACAUCAAGAAUUAAGAAGUACUGAUGUGCAGAACCUCUGCAUGGAGAGCAGAGCCCUUUCUUAUCAUUGAACCUCUACAAACACUUAAUUCUCGAGUAGCUUUCUGAUGUCAUAGAAGCAUGACGAGGUCCCUGAAAAAGCAGCAGGCAAGAGCAGUGAUCACAACUGCAUGUGCACAGAAUGCUUAGUUAUAUGGACACCUUCACUGCCUUGAUGGUAGAACAGGUACAAAGUGAGCUGUAGUUUCCCUAUGGGAGAGAUGAGUCAACGCUGCGAUGUUCCACCUAAAUAAAAUGACCUUCCUGGUUUUGAAAGACUAUUAUGUCUUCGUUCAUUGAAACCUUUUCUUGCUCAAGAUAAACAGUCCAUUACACUCGACUGUGUUUCCUAAGGACGUCGCUGUUGUUUUAAUGGCUCCCUGAUAGUCUGACUGUCCAAAUGAGACACAUUGCUCUGGGUCUGGCCAUACCAAGCCGUGCAAGAUUGCUUCUCUCUCGGGAGAGACAGCCAUUCCGAUAGCCUGAAACCGUUUGAGCAGCUUUACGCUAAAUCGAACUGAUGUUUCUAUUCUCUGAAGGCUCAGGGCCAUUUUACUGGUGUUUGCUCUAUUCCAAAAUAAUCUUGGAUCCAAAUGUGCUGAAUAGAACAUUCUAGGUGAAAAGUUUUUGUGUUUCAAAAAAAAAAAGUGCUGAUUAGUUUUCAGGUCAAUGGAUCCUUAGUUUUAAAACCUGUCUAAACCUCGACCAUCUCAUUUCACAAAUGGGAAACUUGGGACCAGAAAAAAAAAAUUAUUUAAUUUUCCCUGAAGUGCCAUAUUGUUUAGUUGACAGAGCCAAUAUUGGGAUGAAGUCUGCCUUUCUUUGAUAUUUUAUUUCCAUUGCACCUUUAUUCUUAUUUUGACAUUUACAACAUCAAACAAGCUAAAUGAAAAGUAAACAUUGCAAUAAAGCAGGAGAUGUUUCCAAAGAGCCAGGUGUUUGGCACUCAGUCACCAAAGCUGACAUUUUCCCCGAUUUUCAGCUGUGCUAUAACUAUUUGAUAUUUACAUGGCCCAUUUUAGCAGUCGUUUGGCUGGCAGCAGCAGAAGGUCUGGCCUGGAACGUGUUGUCAGAGUGGAGGGAGCUAACUUGAGAAGUUAUGUUACUUCUUGUCCUGAUGCUGUUUGGCCCUAUGUUCUUCGAACUAACUUGAUGGAAUAUUUGAGAGCAAUAGUUUAACAGGUUCUCAGCAUUCUUCUUAGUUCCCUAAACGUGCUCGACCAGGUCCUUAAACGUAAGCAACUGAAACAAGCUCUAUCCCAUACAGCAGAUGAGAGCACACUUUAAUUGAAACAAUUAGCAAGCAUGGAGAACAUGAUAUACAUGAAAGGCCACCAUGCUUUACUGUCAUCUGACUCACAAGAAUGGUCCACGAAAGUCAGGGCUAGUGGUGACACUGGAAGUCAGCACUCAAGAAGUCGGGGCAGGGGAAUCAGGAGUUCAAGGUCAUCUUUGUCUACGUCUCAAGUUCAACGGUAACCUGAGCUUAUAAGACCCCCCCAAAAAAUAAAAAAGCCCUAAUGAUAUUUGAUUAGAAAGAAGACAGGUUUGCAAUACCAAGCAUCACCUUCAAGUUCC
rnacentral:lncRNA from 1 species